GAUGAAGAACGUAGUGAAAUGCGAUAAGUAAUGUGAAUUGCAGAAUUCAGUGAAUCAUCGAAUCUUUGAACGCACAUUGCGCCCCCUGGUAUUCCGGGGGGCAUGCCUGUUCGAGCGUCAUUACAACCCUCAAGCUCUGCUUGGUGUUGGGCCCCGCCGCCCCGGCGGGCCCUAAAAUCAGUGGCGGUGCCGUCCGGCUCCGAGCGUAGUAAUUCUUCUCGCUCUGGAGGUCCGGGUGUGUGCUCGCCAGCAACCCCCAAUUUUUUUCAGGUUGACCUCGGAUCAGGUAGGGAUACCCGCUGAACUUAAGCAUAUCAAUAAGCGGAGGA
rnacentral:misc_RNA from 1 species